GGUUUACCUUAAAACUUAAGCAAAACAAAAACAAUUCUCAGUGAAAAUCUUGCUAUAGUUGACAAGUUCUAUCAACCUCUUAAGUGGUGAGGCUUAAAAAGGAAAUGGAAAGCGAGAGCAGUCAGAAAUAUUCAGCACAAUUUAGAAACUAAGAAGAAAAACACCAAGCCAACUUGUUUUUUUUAAUAGUUUUUCCACUUUCUGCGUACGGACAAAGUGCUUUUCAAUUUGGGGAAUAACAAUUCUCAGUUUGGGUGAGGAGGUGUAGAAUUACAGACGUGCCUGGCCUGCAGUGUCUCAGCUGAUUGGCUGAAGCUGUCUCAGGAGGGAGACACUGGCUGGGUGCUGAUCACGUGGGACACAAGGGGGAAAAGUAAGACCUCGCCACAAAUGCGGGAUCCGCCCCUAACGGACUGACGUCAACGGACCGACGUCAACGGAGGGACGCAGAGGACGGCGGCGCAUGCGCAGGUCAGGCGGGAGGUAACGGUCCGCUUGUAUCACAAUCAGUGGCCAAAGCUCAGUCACCAUCGCCAGAGUUUGGAAAGACAGCCUUGACAGAAACAGAAAAGGUGACUUCUGGAGCCGUGUCUACUAGGGAAUUAUACCCGGCAGGACCUGUGCAAAUCAGCAAACAGAAGACAAAGAAGAACCAGACCUAGGAGUGACAUCAGAGGAGGAACAGAAAAGGCUUGAUGGCAGUGAACAUAACCAGCUCAGGAAAUGUUGACCGCAUGGAGGAAUUCUCCACAGCUGGCCUGGACCCAGGCCCGGGUCUUCCCUCUGUCCAGCUUUCUCCUUCUCCCUGCCUGGCCGGACCCAUCCCCACCGUGUUCCCUUCAUACUCGCCUCAGACAGAAGUAGAAAAGAGCAAGGCCCAGGGCUGCAGAGAGGAGUGUGGUGGGUCCGGGAGCAUUCCCUGCCUUCUGCCUGCACCUGCGAGCCUGAGCCUGCUCCAGGGAGGCCGCCGCUCUGCUGCCCUGGGAAGGCCCUGGAGGAAACCCAAGUCACCACAGUGGGAAGAGCUCCAGGAACCCUGGGAGGCUGCACGUCCUGAACCAGGAGAGAGCUCGGAAAGCAGAGCCUGACCUGAGCCCAGAAAGGAACCUAGCAACGCGGGGCAGGAGUGAGGCAAUACCAGGGAUGGACCCCAGGGAGCACCGAGCUACAACCCAGCUCUUCUUAUCAUUUCCCUUUGAGACAGGAUCUUACUAAUGUGCUCAGACUGGCCUCAGACUUGUGAUGGUUCUGUCUCAGCCUCCCAGGUGUCUGGGAAUGCAGGCUUGCCUCUCCCUGCUAAGCUGUCCACUUUCUUUUUCACUCUCAAGGACUAGUUCAAAUGCAUUUGGCUAAGUCAGCUGAGCGUGACCCCAGGCUAAAGGCUGGGUUCAAGUAUCACAUUCUGAAACCCAGGCUAAAGGAUUCAACAUUACCUUGUGAAGGCAGAUGGUAGGAACACGAAAGGAAAAAGAGAAGCCAUGUCUUGAACCUCUGCUUGGAACUGGACGCUGUCACUUCACCGAUUCCAUCGGCCAAUGCGAGUCACUUGACCAAGCCUAAUAUCAAUGGGGUGGGAAAGUCAGUGGGGAGGUAGAAUAAAUAUUUCCUAAUUAAUCUAUUUUACUUAGUAAAACUGCUUUUGAAACAUACUUUUCAUAGGACUUCCCAGUCAGUAUCCCUAUAGAUUUUAUCCCUUUAACUCUUUUCUCGUAGUAGACAGAAGUUCAUCGUUUAACGACCAACCUGUUUGACUUAUGGCCCAGGAGCACUGUUCAGAGUUAUGACCCACCUCGGGGACUCAGGACCCAAGUUCAGACCCACAUUGCAGGACCAUGAGUGGCAGUGUGGACUUAGGGGGGCUUCUUCUACAGUACAGUACUGUGAGAUUUACCAAUUGUACUGUACAGUGCAGUACUGUAAUUUUAUGUUCUGUAAUACAUUACAGUACUACAUAAGAGUCAUGCAAAUAAAAGCAAAGUCAUCAAGUUGGAA